UGACAAACAGUAUGUAAACGAGAGAAAGAGAGAGGAAUUUCAUUGGUCUAUUUCUUGACCUGAAUUUCAUUUGUCUCU
rnacentral:sRNA from 1 species